GCUAGGGUCGUCUAACUGGUUAAGACCCCACACUUAUAAUGUGGUCGCUCUAGAUUUGGGCAAAAUGCAGGUUCGAAUCCUGCCCCUAGUA
rnacentral:tRNA from 1 species